GGAGCAGCUUCUGGAGAGACCGCGGAAUGCGGCGCCGAAGGAUUCACAAUCUCAGGCAAAAGGACAGAAGAGUAACU
rnacentral:ncRNA from 1 species